UAAAGUUAAAAAUAGAGUUGAACUAUUAUUUAUAGAUUUGCAAUCUAUAACAUUACCAUUAUGUUAUUUAACC
rnacentral:tRNA from 1 species